UGCCUACGGGACGCAGCAGUGGGGAAUAUUGGGCAAUGGGCGCAAGCCUGACCCAGCAACGCCGCGUGAAGGAAGAAGGCUUUCGGGUUGUAAACUUCUUUUAAGAGGGAAGAGUAGAAGACGGUACCUCUUGAAUAAGCCACGGCUAACUACGUGCCAGCAGCCGCGGUAAUACGUAGGUGGCAAGCGUUGUCCGGAAUUACUGGGUGUAAAGGGAGCGUAGGCGGGAGGAUAAGUUGGACGUAUAAACUAUCGGCUCAACCGGUAGAGUCGUUCAAAACUGUCCUUCUUGAGUGAAGUAGAGG
rnacentral:rRNA from 1 species